GACGAACCGUGCGAACGUUGUUCGGAAUCACUGGGCUUAAAGGGCGCGUAGGCGGGAUGGCAAGUCGGUCGUGAAAUCCUUCGGCUCAACCGAAGAACGUCGAUCGAUACUGCUGUUCUUGAGGGUUGCAGAGGAGACUGGAAUUCCCGGUGUAGCGGUGAAAUGUGUAGAGAUCGGGAGGAACACCGGUGGCGAAGGCGGGUCUCUGGGCAAUUCCUGACGCUGAGGCGCGAAAGCGUGGGGAGCAAACGGG
rnacentral:rRNA from 1 species